AGCAGCCGCGGUAAUUCCAGCUCCAAUAGCGUAUAUUAAAGUUGUUGCAGUUAAAAAGCUCGUAGUUGAAUUUCGGGAUCAAUAUGUCGGUCGUGCCUCGGUACGUACUGGCAUCAUUGGUUCCUCCUUUCUGAUGAACCAUGAUGCCAUUAAUUUGGUGUUAUGGGGAAUCAGGACUGUUACCUUGAAAAAAUUAGAGUGUUUAAAGCAGGCUCACGCUUGAAUACAUUAGCAUGGAAUAAUGAAAUAGGACGUUUGAUUCUAUUUUGUUGGUUUCUAGGAUCGACGUAAUGAUUAAUAGGGAUAGUUGGGGGCAUUAGUAUUCAAUUGUCAGAGGUGAAAUUCUUGGAUUUAUUGAAGACUAACUACUGCGAAAGCAUUUGCCAAGGAUGUUUUCAUUAAUCAAGAACGAAAGUUAGGGGAUCGAAGACGAUCGGAUACCGUCGUAGUCUUAACCAUAAACUAUGCCGACUAGGGAUCGGAAUGAUUGUUAAUUUUUAAAUGUACUUCAUUC
rnacentral:rRNA from 1 species